rnacentral:rRNA from 1 species
CCUACGGGAGGCAGCAGUGGGGAAUAUUGCACAAUGGGGGAAAGCCUGAUGCAGCGACGCCGCGUGAGUGAAGAAGUAAUUCGUUAUGUAAAGCUCUAUCAGCAGGGAAGAAAAUGACGGUACCUGUGUAAGAAGCCCCGGCUAACUACGGGCCAGCAGCCGCGGUAAGACGCAGGGGGCAAGCGUUAUCCGGAGUUACUGGGCGUAAAGGGAGCGUAGGCGGGAUGGCAAGUCGGGCGUGAAAGGGGGGGGCUCAACCCGAGGACUGCUCUGGAAACUGGACGGCUGGAGUGCAGGAGAGGUAGGUGGAAUUCCUGGUGUAGCGGUGAAAUGCGUAGAGAUUAGGAGGAAGACCGGUGGCGAAGGCGGCUUACUGGACUGUAACUGACGUUGAGGCUCGAAAGCGUGGGGAGCAAACAGGAUUAGAUACCCGUGUAGUC